rnacentral:rRNA from 1 species
GCGAACGGGAUUAGAUACCCUGGUAGUCCACGCUGUAAACGAUGUCGAUUUGGAGGUUGUGCCCUUGAGGCGUGGCUUCCGGAGCUAACGCGUUAAAUCGACCGCCUGGGGAGUACGGCCGCAAGGUUAAAACUCAAAUGAAUUGACGGGGGCCCGCACAAGCGGUGGAGCAUGUGGUUUAAUUCGAUGCAACGCGAAGAACCUUACCUACUCUUGACAUCCAGAGAACUUUCCAGAGAUGGAUUGGUGCCUUCGGGAACUCUGAGACAGGUGCUGCAUGGCUGUCGUCAGCUCGUGUUGUGAAAUGUUGGGUUAAGUCCCGCAACGAGCGCAACCCUUAUCCUUUGUUGCCAGCGGUUCGGCCGGGAACUCAAAGGAGACUGCCAGUGAUAAACUGGAGGAAGGUGGGGAUGACGUCAAGUCAUCAUGGCCCUUACGAGUAGGGCUACACACGUGCUACAAUGGCAUAUACAAAGAGAAGCGACCUCGCGAGAGCAAGCGGACCUCAUAAAGUAUGUCGUAGUCCGGAUUGGAGUCUGCAACUCGACUCCAUGAAGUCGGAAUCGCUAGUAAUCGUAGAUCAGAAUGCUACGGUGAAUACGUUCCCGGGCCUUGUACACACCGCCCGUCACACCAUGGGAGUGGGUUGCAAAAGAAGUAGGUAGCUUAACCUUCGGGAGGGCGCUUACCACUUUGUGAUUCAUGACUG